rnacentral:RNase_P_RNA from 1 species
GAAGUCCGCCAGACCGCCGCUGGUGCCGCAUGGGAAACCUGGCACUGGAGGAAUGUCCGGACUGCAAAGGGCAGCGCAGGAGGUAACACCUCUCCACCGCGAGGUGAGGAUCAGAGCAACAGAGACGAGUCGCGGCGGGCAACCGCCGCGGGUGAAACGGGCAAUCUCUGCGCGCAGCAAUACCAAAUAGGCC